AACGCUAGCUACAGGCUUAACACAUGCAAGUCGAGGGGCAGCAUGAACUUAGCUUGCUAAGUUUGAUGGCGACCGGCGCACGGGUGAGUAACACGUAUCCAACCUGCCGAUGACUCGGGGAUAGCCUUUCGAAAGAAAGAUUAAUACCCGAUGGCAUAGUUCUUCCGCAUGGUAGAACUAUUAAAGAAUUUCGGUCAUCGAUGGGGAUGCGUUCCAUUAGGUUGUUGGCGGGGUAACGGCCCACCAAGCCUUCGAUGGAUAGGGGUUCUGAGAGGAAGGUCCCCCACAUUGGAACUGAGACACGGUCCAAACUCCUACGGGAGGCAGCAGUGAGGAAUAUUGGUCAAUGGACGAGAGUCUGAACCAGCCAAGUAGCGUGAAGGAUGACUGCCCUAUGGGUUGUAAACUUCUUUUAUACGGGAAUAAAGUGAGGCACGUGUGCCUUUUUGUAUGUACCGUAUGAAUAAGGAUCGGCUAACUCCGUGCCAGCAGCCGCGGUAAUACGGAGGAUCCGAGCGUUAUCCGGAUUUAUUGGGUUUAAAGGGAGCGUAGGCGGACGCUUAAGUCAGUUGUGAAAGUUUGCGGCUCAACCGUAAAAUUGCAGUUGAAACUGGCAGUCUUGAGUACAGUAGAGGUGGGCGGAAUUCGUGGUGUAGCGGUGAAAUGCUUAGAUAUCACGAAGAACUCCGAUUG
rnacentral:rRNA from 1 species